rnacentral:rRNA from 1 species
UACGAAGGGGCUAGCGUUGCUCGGAAUGACUGGGCGUAAAGGGCGCGUAGGCGGAUUGUACAGUCAGGCGUGAAAUUCCCGGGCUCAACCUGGGGGCUGCGCUUGAGACGUGCGAUCUUGAGUGGGGAAGAGGGUCGUGGAAUUCCCAGUGUAGAGGUGAAAUUCGUAGAUAUUGGGAAGAACACCGGUGGCGAAGGCGGCGACCUGGUCCUUGACUGACGCUGAGGCGCGAAAGCGUGGGGAGCAAACAGG